rnacentral:rRNA from 1 species
UACGGGGGGGCAAGCGUUGUUCGGAAUUACUGGGCGUAAAGGGCUCGUAGGCGGCCAACUAAGUCGGACGUGAAAUCCCUCGGCUUAACCGGGGAACUGCGUCCGAUACUGGAUGGCUUGAGUUCGGGAGAGGGAUGCGGAAUUCCAGGUGUAGCGGUGAAAUGCGUAGAUAUCUGGAGGAACACCGGUGGCGAAGGCGGCAUCCUGGACCAUUACUGACACUGAAAAGCGAAAGCCAGGGGAGCAAACGGG